ensembl:miRNA MIR9851 microRNA mir-9851
UGAGCCCGGCGCUGGCAGUGUUGGUGGCACUCGUGUGGUGGCAGUGGCACCAGCACUGGCGGUGGCGGUCGCACCA